rnacentral:rRNA from 1 species
AUUGAACGCUGGCGGCAGGCCUAACACAUGCAAGUCGAGCGGAUGAAGGGAGCUUGCUCCUGGAUUCAGCGGCGGACGGGUGAGUAAUGCCUAGGAAUCUGCCUGGUAGUGGGGGAUAACGUCCGGAAACGGGCGCUAAUACCGCAUACGUCCUGCGGGAGAAAGUGGGGGAGCUUCGGACCUCAUGCUAUCAGAUGAGCCUAGGUCGGAUUAGCUAGUUGGUGGGGUAAAGGCCUACCAAGGCGACGAUCGGUAACUGGUCUGAGAGGAUGAUCAGUCGCACUGGAACUGAGACACGGUCCAGACUCCUACGGGAGGCAGCAGUGGGGAAUAUUGGACAAUAGGCGAAAGCCUGAUCCAGCCAUGCCGCGUGUGUGAAGAAGGUCUUCGGAUUGUAAAGCACUUUAAGUUGGGAGGAAGGGCAGUAAGUUAAUACCUUGCUGUUUUGACGUUACCAACAGAAUAAGCACCGGCUAACUUCGUG